rnacentral:rRNA from 1 species
CCUACGGGAGGCUGCAGUGGGGAAUAUUGGACAAUGGGCGCAAGCCUGAUCCAGCCAUGCCGCGUGGGUGAAGAAGGCCUUCGGGUUGUAAAGCCCUUUUGUGAAAAGUGCGGUACCGGAAGAAUAAGCACCGGCUAACUUCGUGCCAGCAGCCGCGGUAAUACGAAGGGUGCAAGCGUUACUCGGAAUUACUGGGCGUAAAGCGUGCGUAGGUGGUUUGUUAAGUCUGAUGUGAAAGCCCUGGGCUCAACCUGGGAAUUGCAUUGGAUACUGGCAGGCUAGAGUGCGGUAGAGGGUAGUGGAAUUCCCGGUGUAGCAGUGAAAUGCGUAGAUAUCGGGAGGAACACCAGUGGCGAAGGCGACUACCUGGACCAGACUGACACUGAGGCACGAAAGCGUGGGGAGCAAACAGGAUUAGAUACCCGUGUAGUC